GUGCUGGCUUUGGCAGCACAUAUACUAAAAUUGGAACACUACAGAGAAAAUUAGCAUGGCCCCUGUGCAAGGAUGACAUGGAAAUUUGUGAAGCAUUCCAUACGGGG
rnacentral:snRNA from 1 species